ensembl:lncRNA
UUGCAUUGCAGGGAAGCAUUGCUACAUGUAUUUUUCAUGACAUUCCUUUCAGGCAUCUUCUUGGGUUCCUUUCCAAAAUGUUAUGAAAAAGUGAUUUGCUUUCAGAAAGGAAUCGCUCGGCUAAAAAUAAUAAAUAUGUUAUAGCUAAUGUGGAAACUGAAAAUGUCAGAGGUGAUGUGGAAAUCAUCGGAGCGGACUGAACUGAAAGGAUGAAUGAUCCUUAGGAGUCAAAGGAAGCUGCCGCAGAAAAUCCAACUGUUAGCAGUCGGGACAGUUUGGAAACCACAGAUGAAAGAUCCCAGCUUCCUGUGUAGGCUUCAGGAGAACUGAGACACCUUCUGCUGGCUUGAGUGAAGGAGCCAGUUGCUGCCUGUAUGAUGUGUCCUGAUGCUGCCCAUUUCUGGGUGUUAAAAAAGCCUCCUUGCUGAAACUCUUUAACUCCGCAAUAGAAGCAAAACAAAACUGGGCUACAAAGAUGCAAGAUCAGGAUUGGAUGGAGAGUGAGCUUGGGAACGAACUCUCCGGGAAGUACAUGAGAGGGAUCAAAGCUCAUUGCACGUGAACUGAACAAUGAAAGAAUAAAACAACUUACAAGCUACAUCAGUCCUGGAAAACAAAAGCAUUUUACAGAAGAUUUCCUCUUGUUUGAGUUGUGAUAUCCAACCGUGAUGGAUAAUCACUUCUUAUCCAGGGUCCCUUGCAUGCACGGACUUUGUUUUCUCAACAGAAAGGAAAAGAGAAAUCAAAAGCAGAGGAGGUAUUCAAGAACUGUAGAGACACUGAGGGACAUGAGCGCUCGCCACUUUAUGCCGCUUCUCUGACAGAAGAGAAACUGCAGUAAAAGGGAGAAAUAUCUUCCAUCUGCAGCCAAGGUU